UUCGAAAAAUGUAUCUAAAAUAUUUAUAUAUAGCAAAAGAAUACAACAACAGGAGACUCUGCCAAGAACGAAAAAGAAUGAGAACAAAGUGAUUAAAGCUUUCUGCAGUUUAGGCCUCUACGGCGACCCACAAUGCACCGAGACGGUUCGGGCCCGGGUUCCCAUGGGAGAGCCGGGUUCUGCGGGCUCCUCCGUAACGCCACGGCUCCUCUCAUAUGAACAGGAACUGUCAUCAGGCGGGUCAGAGGCGGCCCGAGAGCCCACAAGCUUCUGUUUCAAAGAUCGCGUCCACCUUCAGAUGGGACCGGGCUUGAAAGAGGAGCUUAAUCACCACGGUAACCUGUCUAUUCGACACAUACAUGCAGAACAAGGAGGCCUUUGGGAUGGGAAAGGCUAUAGAUGCGCUCCCCUCCCUCGUUGUUAGCCCCAAACUCAAUGUUUCUCCACUCUAAGCCUCAUCAA